GAUGAACGCUGGCGGCGUGCCUAAUACAUGCAAGUCGAGCGAACAGACGAGGCGCUUGCUCCUCUGACGUUAGCGGCGGACGGGUGAGUAACACGUGGAUAACCUACCUAUCAGACUGGGAUAACUUCGGGAAACCGGAGCUAAUACCGGAUAAUAUAUUGAACCGCAUGGUUCAAUAGUGAAAGACGGUUUUGCUGUCACUUCUAGAUGGAUCCGCGCCGCAUUAGCUAGUUGGUACGGUAACGGCUUACCAAGGCAACGAUGCGUAGCCGACCUGAGAGGGUGAUCGGCCACACUGGAACUGAGACACGGUCCAGACUCCUACGAGAGGCAGCAGUAGGGAAUCUUCCGCAAUGGGCGAAAGCCUGACGGAGCAACGCCGCGUGAGUGAUGAAGGUCUUCGGAGCGUAAAACUCUGUUAUUAGGGAAGAACAAAUGUGUAAGUAACUAUGCACGUCUUGACGGUACCUAAUCAGAAAGCCACGGCUAACUACGUG
rnacentral:rRNA from 1 species